UAUUUGAAAGUUUUGGAGCUAUCCUAACGUAGCAUAGAAAUGGUUGCCUCAUAUAGUUUCUGUCAUAUAUCAUUGAAAGAAAACGUCACAAGAUUUUUUCUCUGGGACCUAACCAAUCGAGUUCACGCACGUGUACUAGGAACACUAGCUCCCAUAUCAGUCGAAGAGGUACUUAUUCAGCUGCUAGGAAGUAGUGCAAGCAAGACGGAAGCUUCAGUGCUUAUUAUUGGACAUUUUGGUGGUAAUUUUUUUUUUCAUUUCAGCUUUGGACAUGUUGGCAAAGAUUGUUUUUUCUGUCACCUUUGCAACACUUAUUACAGGUCCAGUGUUUAUUACCGCUCAGGUAAAGGACACAAAUCCGGACUGCAACGUGAAGGUGGAAGUAACCAUGUCUACAGCACAUGCGAGUUUUUCUGCCAGGGCGAUGAAGCCGUUUUAUUA
rnacentral:lncRNA from 1 species